rnacentral:rRNA from 1 species
AUACGGAGGGGGCUAGCGUUGUUCGGAAUUACUGGGCGUAAAGCGCGCGUAGGCGGGUUGGCAAGUUGAAGGUGAAAUCCCAGGGCUCAACCCUGGAACUGCCUCCAAAACUGCCAGUCUUGAGUUCGGAAGAGGUGAGUGGAAUUCCUAGUGUAGAGGUGAAAUACGUAGAUAUUAGGAAGAACACCAGUGGCGAAGGCGACUCACUGGUCCGAUACUGACGCUGAGGUGCGAAAGCGUGGGGAGCAAACAGGAUUAGAAACCCCAGUAGUCC